rnacentral:lncRNA from 1 species
CACACACUUUUUUUUACUAUAUAUGAGCUGCUCCUGAGUAUAAACCUAUAAACCACAACCCUGGCCAAACAAUGCCAACAAGUACACUUGUAGCCAGUUACGUUUGUAAAAUUGACUCUUCUACUUUUGAAAAGUGAAAAACAUUCAGAUUUUUUUUUUUUUUUUUUUUAAGUUGCAAAGUAAAACAAACGUCCUGAAAACAUAUCCUGGUUGCAUUUUUUUUUUUUUUUUUUUUUUUUUUUUUUUACUUCUAACUGGAAACACAGCUAGUUUUGCUGGUUUGCAUACUCUUUUAUCCCUUUUCAGAGUUUUUCAUUGAAUGUUUUUAAUGUUGUGCAAAUUCUCAGAACCUUCAAUGACUAAACAUAAAUAAUCUUUCUUGACUGCUUGAAUUUAACAAAGGUAAUUGUUUGUGUUGCAGUUUAGAAAAAAAUGAUAAGUUUUCAUUCUGAAGUGCAAUAAAGCUGUCACUCCCCGCAGACUGUCCUUGUGACAAACAGAAGCGAUCGUAACAUACAAGCAGCAGCAGCAAAUGGGAAGAAGGGACUGAGACUUGGAUGCUGGACUCUGAUGACCUCACCUUGUUUUUUGAGAAACCAAUUGUGCAUCUGGUAGAACCACUUCAACAGGAGGGUAACCUAUGCCAGCUGAAAGCACCUCCACCUCUUACUGACUUUCCAGAUACUCAGGAUGCACAGAAGGAGGCGGAGUCUCUCUCCUCACGAUCCAGUUUCUCUCACGAACAAACAGUUCUCCAACCUAUUUCAAAAGGAUCAGAUGGUUCCCACACGUAUUCAUCAAAAGUCAACAGUUUAAGCUUUUACAGUGAUCAGAUUGGAAAUGAGGAGCUCCAAGGUCUCAGCAACCCAAGAGGAUGUGACAGCUUUUGGAUGAGUUCAAGUUUUAGCCAUUGCUUUCUGAAAGAACGUCACAGUGGCAGAGAUGCAGAUGAAACUCUGCAGCACAACUAUCCACCUUUUGACUGUGUCCCAUCUUUUCGCAAAAGGCAGGUGUCCCGUCAUAUGCUAAUGAUGUUUGUUACAACACAACAAGUCCCACCUCACCUAAGCAAUUUAUCCACAUGAUGUUUUUGCAUUGGUGUCAGUAAAGCAGCAGGCUGAUGUACACUACUGUUCAAAAGUAUGGGGUCAUCCAGAUGGAUUCCUGUUUUCCACGAAAAGUCACAGUUUUAUGAGUUGCACAAUAAAUAGAAAAUAUAAUCAAGACAUUAACAAGGAUAGAAAUACUUAAAAGAUAAAUUGCUUUAUACUUUGCUUUUGUUAAAGAAUCCAGCAGUUAUUCCAGCAUUGCAGACCUUUGACCUUCUAUCUGUUAGUAUGUUGAGGUCAGCUACAGAAAUUUGACCCCACUCUUCUCAAAGCCCCUCCCACAAGUUGGAUUUGCUGGAUGGGUACUUCUAGGUUUCGUUUCCACGGAGUGGUCCAGACUGGACUGGAUCGGGCCGGGCCGAACUUUUUAGCGUUUCCAUUACAAAAUGGAACCGGUAAGCAGGUCCGACUGGUACCACUUUUGGUCCAUUGGAAACUAGAAUGGGCCCGAGAGGGCGGAGCUUCUGUCGUCACACAAUGUAAGCCAUUGAUUGGUGGAAAGGUUUUACGACAAUAGGAAGUGUCCAACCAGCACUUUUCCCGACUCAAGAUCCAAACCGAAGGUUCUGUCCUCUUUACAGCUGGACUUUUCUUCGCCCCAGUGUUGAACCUUUCCUGCUUUGUUUCCCGACCGUGUUCGGGGGAUGCAGGGGAGAUUUUCUCCGGCCGAAGAGCUGCUUCGUGAAGCCAAAGAAUCAGUCUCAGAUCUUAAAGGAACUUUUUAUCAUUACUCUUCCCUGCACUGCCAAUUGACAACAACCGUCGGCAGGCUAACACGCUGCCUUUUUUUUCCCUCUCUCCUCGCAGCGGAUUAUGCCGAUCCUUGUGUCAGGCCUUAGUCCUUUUCUCCUUAGAACAGCUUUAGAUCUGUUGUUAUUCUGACCCACAGACUUCCACAAUUUUCACACCUUUAUCUCACAUCACAGUUUAUUCAAGAGGCCAGAGAUGACCAUCAGAAGUGACUCAUCCACCAAGAAUGACCCAGAGACCAGCAGCAGCCAGACAGCAUCCACACCUGAAGUUUAUAGAAAUCAGGUUACCAUGACGACAGUUCCUCUUUAGCCGAUACAGUCGGUCACCUUUCUUCACCUUUCACUCUUAAGCCCUUUCUUUUGCAGCUUCCUCUGGGCUUUUCUGCACCAAGUGGUCGACUCCUGCAGGCGGUGCAACGCGCAGAAACACAGAGCGCAAGGAGAGCGGUGGUUCCCCCCAUGACGCCUGAGCCGCUGCACAUUCCAGGUCUCACACAGCACUGGAACAGCCACGGAGAAUCGCUGCAGCUUCUGUUGGCUGUUUACAAUUGUGUCACUACCGUAGCUUCUGUGAAGGGUUAUCAUUAAUGAGAAAUCCAACAAUAACCAGGUCAGUCGCUGCCACUGUUGGGUUUGAUGAGGUGAGCUGCCUUGCUGGAAACAUUUUGGUCCCAUGGUGGUAAAUGGUAUACACAAGCUAAAAAACCCUCAGAAAACACUUUACAUUGUGCUGGAUCAGAAUGAAAGUCUCUAUUUGACUAAAUUAAUUCAUAUUAAGCAGUACAAAUCACCAAGGACUGUUGAUGUAAAGCACAUGUGUCAAUGUGUCAAAGUCGAGGCCCGGAGGCCGGAUCCAGGAUAGAAUAAUAAUCACUAUAGUGAUUCACUUUUCCUCUAUUUCUUUAUUAUUUUUCUUCCAUACAUUUUUUGGACGUCCAUAGCUCACACCUUUACUAUUUCUUUUGAUUGUUUCUAUUAAUGUUUUAUUUAAAGCACUUUGAAUUGUCUGUACAUGAAAUGUGCUACACAAAUAGACUAGCCUCACCCAUUGACAGCUGUAUGUAAUAUUAGUGGUAACCCUUAGCACAUGUCUUGACUCGUGUGUCUGCUGUGACACUAAGGUUUGAUUGUACAAUUAGUUCAUAAAUGUUGAAGGGGCUGUGAUGGUUAUGCUGCCACUGUCGUAAAAUUUAAUGAGAGAAAUACAUUCUGAUUAGUCUUUGUUUUAAAUAUCAUUAAAUAACGCUUUCAACUUUUUCUGUAACUGGGGAUUUUAACACUUAAAGUGGGUUAAUUGUGAGCCUGCAUGUAUGAAGUUCUUUUUUUUUCCCAUCAUGUUGGAUUCUAUAAUUAGUCAUUGGAGUUCUCAUAAAUCAAUAGAUCGUUUUAUAGAUAAAUAUUUACCAUUGACUACAACUCUUUGGUGAUAAAUCACAAGUUAACCAGUCAUAACUAAAAUACGCCAAUCAUAGGAUCUCGCCCUAAGAUUUAUUUUAAAUUUUGGCCCCUUGUGCGAUUGAGUUUGACACCCCUGAGCUAGAUGGAAGCUAUUGUUUAUUUACUGUAGAAGCUUUUUGCAUAUUAUGUUAUUUAUGCUUUUGUACACAAAAAAUGUUUAUCCUAUGACUUCUCUUUCUUUGUUAAUCUUCUGAAGUCAUAAAAGCCUAAUAAAAAAAAUGUUU